UGAUGAGUGAUAGACACCGAGGCACAAGGCGCAGAACUGUACGGAACCGAGGAAUGGAACUUCUUCCCAGGCACCAAGUUGCAAUAUCAUGGACAAGCAAUGGAAACCUGGAACCCUUCCUAACAGGAAAGAGCUUAAAUUCCAUCGAAG